rnacentral:lncRNA from 1 species
GCUGGGUGUGGACCCCCUGGCUGAACCCCCCCGGCACCACGCUGGCAGUGCCAUCGCUGCCUGACGUCACCAGGGUGCCAAGGCUCGGCUCGAGGCGCACGGCAAGGGGGGCACGGGAGCCCUGCUCCGGCUGGGAGGACGCGGUGCCAGGGAGGGCAGAGCCACGGGCUGCCCUGGCACAGGGUGUCCCAGCAGGGUCGGGAGUGCCGGGCAGGGAGCCCGUGAGCCACAGCCCCGCUGCCCCCGGCAGCGCAGGGCCCUUUCAACCCCGCCAUAUUAAUUUCUGCUAAUUGGCUUUGACAGGAAUCGGUGUCAACAUUCCAGAACACACCCGCCCGUGUGCGUGGGGCAGGAGGGAGGGAGAGGAGGAGGGGGAAGCAAAGUGGCACCCUCAGGGAAGAGGAUCCUGGCUCUGUCCCCUCACUGAGCCAGGUGGGGCCUGGCUGCCCUGUUGUGCUGUGCCAAUGUCAUUCCCUGUGCCAGGACAGGGGGUUUGCCACAUGCCACCCCACACUGCCUGCCCCCGGCAUCCCUGUGGGCACUGGGAGUCACCUCCUGCCAGUGUGCCCAGCUCCUGGUGCCCUCCAGCCCAGAGUGCCAUCCUCCAGUGGGAAACACGUGGCAAGACAGGACACCAGGCAUGGUGCUGCCACCACUGUCACCUCCCAGCUGAGGAGCUCCCGCUGCCCUGCCCCAAAUCCACUCGGUGUGUUCAGUCCCAACAGCACCUUCCCCCCUGUAUGGCCUGGUAAGUGCCAGAGUGUGCCUGGCCCUGGUUUGGGUUGCCAGGGUCCUUCUGCCUGCUAUGGCCCCUUUGCCACCACGGUGCCCCGAGUCCUUUCCAUCCUUGUGCCAGGAGCAGGCAGAGGCACUGGACACAGAGCACCAACACUCGCCACGCUGUUGUCACUGAGUGUCACUGGGGCACUGGAUGGCAGCAGGUACCAGGUGGACCCAAAAACACAGGGCUGGGGGGAUGCCCUGCCCUGCCCUUGGCUUCCCAGAGCGGCGAGUGGGCACCC